CCUUGGAAACCCUAGUUUGACUGGGUAUCUUGAGUAAAUUCUCCAACAAGCUAUCUCACCAAUUGAUCAAAUUUCUCAAGGGACACUUCAAAAUUCAUCAUAUAAUGCAUAUAUAAUCUACCAUGAUCCUAUAAAGUCAAGAGAAUUGAAGAUUAGCAAGUCGGUUGAUGGUGGUUGGCCAGAUGAACUCAACUGAUCAAGAUUGGGUCUCCCUAGAC
rnacentral:lncRNA from 1 species